rnacentral:rRNA from 1 species
UGGGGAAUAUUGGACAAUGGGCGCAAGCCUGAUCUAGCCAUGCCGCGUGAGCGAUGAAGGCCUUAGGGUUGUAAAGCUCUUUCAGAUGGGAAGAUAAUGACUGUACCAUCAGAAGAAGCCCCGGCUAACUCCGUGCCAGCAGCCGCGGUAAUACGGAGGGGGCUAGCGUUGUUCGGAAUUACUGGGCGUAAAGCGCACGUAGGCGGACUGGAAAGUCAGAGGUGAAAUCCCAGGGCUCAACCUUGGAACUGCCUUUGAAACUCCCAGUCUUGAGGUCGAAGGAGGUGGGUGGAAGUCCAAGUGUAGAGGUGAAAUUCGUAGAUAUUCGGAGGAACACCAGUAGCGAAGGCGGCUCACUGGCUCGAUUCUGACGCUGAGGUGCGAAAGCGUGGGGAGCAAACA